AUCACUGAGAAGCGGAUUACAGUAGUCAAGACGAGAAAGGACAGUGUAAUGGACCAGCACCUUAGUUGCAUUUGGCGUUAAGUAGGGUUUGAUGCACGCAAUGUUUUUGAGAUGGAAGCGGCAGGAUUUGGCGUUAGACUAUACAUGAGGCAUGAAGGAGGGGACAGAGUCAGAGAACACCUAGGCAGCCAUCCUGCAUGGUGGAGCUGAUGUUAGC